rnacentral:rRNA from 1 species
GAUUGCCCCAGUAACGGCGAGUGAAGCGGCAACAGCUCAAAUUUGAAAUCUGGCCCCCUGCGGGGUCCGAGUUGUAAUUUGAAGAGGAUGCUUCUGGCGAGGCGCCGUCCGAGUUCCCUGGAACGGGACGCCGGAGAGGGUGAGAGCCCCGUACGGUCGGACGCCGAGCCUCUGUGUAGCUCCUUCGACGAGUCGAGUAGUUUGGGAAUGCUGCUCAAAAUGGGAGGUAAACCCCUUCUAAAGCUAAAUACCGGCCAGAGACCGAUAGCGCACAAGUAGAGUGAUCGAAAGAUGAAAAGCACUUUGAAAAGAGAGUUAAAAAGCACGUGAAAUUGUUGAAAGGGAAGCGCUUGCGACCAGACUCGCGCCCGUCGGAUCAGCCGUCGCUCGUCGGCGGCGCACUCCGGCGGGUUCGGGCCAGCAUCGGUUCGCCUCGGGGGGAGAAAGGCGGCGGGAAUGUGGCUCUUCGGAGUGUUAUAGCCCACCGCGUAAUACCCCCGGGCGGACCGAGGACCGCGCGUAUGCAAGGAUGCUGGCGUAAUGGUCGUCAGCGACCCGUCUUGAAACACGGACCAAGGAGUCGUCCUAAUAUGCGAGUGUUCGGGUGUCAAACCCCUGCGCGUAAUGAAAGUGAACGGAGGUGAGAGCUUCGGCGCAUCAUCGACCGAUCCUGAUGUUCUCGGAUGGAUUUGAGUAAGAGCAUAUUGGGCCGGACCCGAAAGAAGGUGAACUAUGCCUGUAUAGGGUAAAGCCAGAGGAAACUCUGGUGGAGGCUCGCAGCGGUUCUGACGUGCAAAUCGAUCGUCAAAUAUGGGCAUGG